rnacentral:rRNA from 1 species
GAUGAACGCUGGCGGCGUGCCUAAUACAUGCAAGUCGAGCGAACACACCAGGCUUUUUCUCCUCUGACUUUAUCGGCGGACGGGAUCUUCACACUUGGAUAACCUACCUAUAAGACUGGGAUAACUUCGCGAGACCGUAGCUAAUACCCGAUAAUAUAUUGACCCGCAUUGUUCAAGCGUUAAAGACGGUUUUUCUUUCACUUAUAGAUUGCUCCGCGCCGCAUUAGAUAGUUGGUAAGGUAACGGCUUACCAAGGCAACGAUGCGUAGCCGACCUGAGAGGGAGAUCGGCCACACGGGAAGUGAGAAACGGUCCAGACUCCGACGGGAGGAAGCAGUAGGGAAUCUUACGCAAUGGGCGAAAGCGGGACGGAGCAAAGCCGCGGGAGUGAUGAAGGUCUUAGGAUCGGAAAACGAUGUAAUUAGGGAAGAACAAAUGUGUAAGUAACUAUGAACGUCUUGACGGUACCUAAUCAGAAAGCCACGGCUAACUACGUG